rnacentral:snoRNA from 1 species
GUCAGUGAUGAAAACUGAAUAGGAAGUGCCGUCUGAUGCGAAAACUGACGACGUUUCUUGCUCACUGUUC